AUUGAUGACAUGGUAUGGUUUGCAGAGAGAAACCAUUUUAUCUCAAUAAAAAGAAAAAAGAUUAUUACAAACCUUAAGUACCAUUUCAGUUAGCAUGAUGAAAAUAAAACCCCUUUAACAUUUGCCUGAAUAGAAAGGAUGUUUGGUACAUUGGCAAUUUCCAGGUGCAGGCCUUGGCACCUCUUGCUGCAAAAGGCAGGCAAUGUGCCUGAGGCGCACCCAGGCACGCCUCAGGCACCAUUUAAUCCAUCUACAUUUCCUUUCUUUCUGUUUUAGGGCAGUCCAACAGCCUCUCUCAGUCCCACUGUCAUCCAUAAAAGAAAGAAAGGUUUUUUUUUUCUUGUUUUUUCUUUCUUCCUUUUCUCCUCUCUUGCCGAUCCACCUAGGAUUUAUUUCUUUGAUUCUUUCUUGUUCCUUUUUCCCCCUUUUCCACUCCUACUCUUUCUCUCUCUCCUUUGCUGGAACGUCUGCAUCCCCACCUUUUUUUUCCUUUUGGGAUUUUUUAUUCAUUCUUGUUCUUC
rnacentral:misc_RNA from 1 species